CACCGGCCGGAGCUCGCGCCCCGCGUCCUGCGUCCUGCGCAGGGACUCUACCCAGCCCGCCGCAAGGUCACCUCGAGGCACCUGCACCACCGGCCCCAGUGCUUUUGCAGCCACGUGUAGAAUAGCAAAUGCAACUUGUCCAGUCUCUGCUGAGGUUGAAUGAGGUCUUCUUAUUCCAGGUCUCAUAUUUACAAUACACUUUACGCUAUGACAAGGAGAUGGGGAAGAAGAGCCAUCACCUUCCAACCAAUGCUGUUUGCUUUCCUGCUGGAGAUGACCAUCUUUCUCUGAAUCAAGUGUACAAUUCAGCUUGGAUUUCCUAAGUUGGAAAGGAGAAUUUGUAGCUAAACCAAAAAUAUUCCUGCACUGUUAUUAGUUGGCUUAUUUCCACCAAAUGUUUUU
rnacentral:lncRNA from 1 species